rnacentral:rRNA from 1 species
UAAUUUCUAAAUUCACUUUCCAGUAAAUUUACUUUGUUACGACUUGUCUCAAAUAAUCUUAGAGAAUGACGGGCAAUAUGUACAUAUUUCAAAACUUAUUCAAACAUUAUCAAUAUUAACAAAUUUUACUUACAAAUCCAAUUUCAUAACCAAAUUUCAUUAAUUAAUCCAAAAUUAAAUUUAUUGUAACACAAUUUUCCUUAAAUAUUCCUGCACCUUGACCUGACAUUUAAUUUACAUUUAUUUCAAGAAAUAAAUCUAUUAAUAAAUUCUUCUGACGGAGAUAUACAAAGCAUUUUAAUUUAAGUAAAAUAUUUGAGUAUCAUCAUUUUAAAAAACCAUGUUCCUCUGAAAAGAAUAAAAUACCGCCAAAUUUUUUAAGUUUCAAACAAAUUUAUUCUACUACCUAAUUCAUUUAAAUUAAAUUAAAAUAAUAGGGUAUCUAAUCCUAGUUUACUAUUUAAUUCACACAAAUAUUUAAAAUUAAGUCUUAUAAAUAAUUUAAAUUUCACCAUCCAAUUACAUUUUUCAACUUCUUAAAUAAAUUAAUAAAUUUUAUAAAUCAAUAAUAUUCAAUCAAAUCUUAUGUAUAACCGCAGAUGCUGGCACAAAAUUAUCCAAUCAUAUAUACAAAUAUCUAAAUCUAAUUUUCACUAAUUUUUUAAUUCUCAUUAAUACUUAUUCUCAAUUCUACAAACCUAUUUUUAAUUAAUUCACCAAAUGAAUAUUUAGCCAAAAUAAAACUUUA